GCACGGGUGAGUAAUAUAUAGCUAAUCUGCCCCUUGCUGGAGGACAACAGUUAGAAAUGACUGCUAAUACUCCAUACUCCUUUUUACCAUAAGAUAAAUCGGGAAAGAAUUUCGGCAAGGGAUGAGACUAUAUCGUAUCAGCUAGUCGGUGGGGUAACGGCCUACCGAGGCUAUGACGCGUAACUGGUCUGAGAGGAUGAUCAGUCACAUUGGAACUGAGACACGGUCCAAACUCCUACGGGAGGCAGCAGUAGGGAAUAUUGCGCAAUGGGGGAAACCCUGACGCAGCAACGCCGCGUGGAGGAUGACACUUUUCGGAGCGUAAACUCCUUUUGUUAGGGAAGGAUAAUGACGGUACCUAACGAA
rnacentral:rRNA from 1 species